UACGUAGGCAGCGAGCGUUGUUCGGAUUUACUGGGCGUAAAGGGUGUGUAGGCGGUUGCUUAAGUUUGGUGUGAAAUCUCCCGGCUCAACUGGGAGGGUGCGCCGAAUACUGAGUGACUCGAGUGCGGGAGAGGAGAGUGGAAUUCCUGGUGUAGCGGUGAAAUGCGUAGAUAUCGAGAGGAACACCUGCGGCGAAGGCGGGUUGCUGGGCUGACACUGACGCUGAUGCGCGAAAGCUAGGGGAGCGAACGGG
rnacentral:rRNA from 1 species